GAUAUAUUUAUAUGAUGAUUUUUUAGAGUAGGAAUCUCAUUGAGCUUCAGUCAUGCGUUGCUAUGAAAUUAAAUAUCUCUCACUGAACAUAACAAA